UACGUAGGGUGCAAGCGUUUGUCCGGAAUUAUUGGGCGUAAAGAGCUCGUAGGCGGUUCGUCGCGUCGGCUGUGAAAUCCCGAGGCUCAACCUCGGGUCUGCAGUCGAUACGGGCGGACUGGAGUUCGGCAGGGGAGACUGGAAUUCCUGGUGUAGCGGUGAAAUGCGCAGAUAUCAGGAGGAACACCGGUGGCGAAGGCAGCUUACUGGGCCGAUACUGACGCUGGAGGAGCGAAAGCGUGGGGAGCGAACAGG
rnacentral:rRNA from 1 species